UAACUUUGUGCCAGCAGCCGCGGUAAUACGAAGGGGGCUAGCGUUGUUCGGAUUUAUUGGGCGUAAAGCGCACGUAGGCGGACCUUUAAGUCAGAGGUGAAAUCCCAAGGCUCAACCUUGGAACUGCCUUUGAUACUGGGGAUCUCGAGUCCGGGAGAGGUGAGUGGAACUGCGAGUGUAGAGGUGAAAUUCGUAGAUAUUCGCAAGAAUACCAGUGGCGAAGGCGGCUCACUGGCACGGAACUGACGCUGAGGUGCGAAAGCNUGGGGAGCAAUCAGGAUUAGAUACCCUGGUAGUCCACGCCGUANACGAUGGAUGCUAGCCGUUAGGCAGCUUGCUGGUUAGUGGCGCAGCUAACGCUUUAAGCAUCCCGCCUGGGGAAUACGGUCGCAAGAUUAAAACUCAAAGGAAUUGACGGGGGCCCGCACAAGCGUUGGAGCAUGUGGUUUAAUUCGAAGCAACGCGCAGAACCUUACCAGCUUUUGACAUGUCCUGGACGGAUGGCAGAGAUGCUUUCUUCUCUUNGGAGCCACGAACAC
rnacentral:rRNA from 1 species